UCUGUCUCUCAAUAUAAAAUAAAAACAUUUUAAAAAAUGAAAAGCCCCAAAUACUGGCUGGCAGUAUUUGAUGACUAAUGGAGCCUGCAUGUGUACUCUAGAAGAUGUGGUCUGAAGCCUUCCCAGUCAGACGUAAUACGUGCUUUUUUAAAAAAAUUAAAUAUACCAAAUUUAUAAAUGCAAUUUAAAUUUUUAAGGGAAUGUACUUAACUGUGUUUCUGGAUGGAAACUAACUGUUGAGUAAAGGGACUUUAGACUUCAAUGUGAAUUAAUCAAAUAUUUUUUCAACGUUCCCCCAAGAGUUACAGUUUUGAUUUUAUUUUAUCAUUUUAAGUUUACAAAUAGAGUGAGCCGAAUCUAAAAACUUAGGGGCAUUUUUAUUUUUUCCAUUUGUAUCUCUAGUAAAAUAAAAUUUGAUUUUUUGAAUUUGUAUCUCUAAUAUGCUGAGUGUUCAUUAAAGACCUAAGUAUGUGUAAAUGCUGUCCGCUGUGCACAGAAAGCCCCCUGCGGACACUAGAAAGCCCACCCUGACAGAUGGAACAUGUGAUAGAUGAGGGCGAAAACAAAUCGUUGGAGUAAAGAAAAGGUUGAUGCGAGUGACAAAUGAACACAAGCAUAAACGUAAGUGGCGACAGGCCUGAGCCUUGACCCCGUCACCUAGAAAUGAUAAAUUUCACUCCAGGACCUCCAGAGCGCACGAUACCCUGGGAUGCAGGGAAGCCCACUGAUAAGGACACUGGCAAUUUCCACGGGCGUGUUCCUCAGAUUGGAUUAUCCAGGGACCAUUCCACUGAAACUGCAACCAAAGCUGCCUGUGGCCUCACUUUCCUGCCCAAGUGUGACUGCAGUCUGACGUGUCGCGGCCACCCUGUGCCCAUCAUGGUGAGAAAUGUCUGUUUCCGCUGCCCAGCUGCCUAGGCUGUAGGCAGACUGAGUUCUACGCUGGACCACUGGACUUUAGUCACAACCAACAUGGUGUCAUACUUGACUAAC
rnacentral:lncRNA from 1 species